GCCCGGGCGUUGGUGGCGCACGC
rnacentral:piRNA from 1 species